rnacentral:tRNA from 1 species
GGGGCUAUGGUUCAGUGGUAGAGCAUCUGUGUCACAUGCAGAAAGUCCUGAGUUCAAUCCCUGGCAUUUCCA